rnacentral:rRNA from 1 species
GGGACAACAGUUGGAAACGACUGCUAAUACCGCAUAAGCGCACAGCUUCGCAUGAAGCAGUGUGAAAAACUCCGGUGGUACAAGAUGGACCCGCGUCUGAUUAGCUGGUUGGUGAGGUAACGGCCCACCAAGGCGACGAUCAGUAGCCGGCCUGAGAGGGUGAACGGCCACAUUGGGACUGAGACACGGCCCAAACUCCUACGGGAGGCAGCAGUGGGGAAUAUUGCACAAUGGGGGAAACCCUGAUGCAGCAACGCCGCGUGAGUGAAGAAGUAUUUCGGUAUGUAAAGCUCUAUCAGCAGGAAAGAAAAUGACGGUACCUGACUAAGAAGCCCCGGCUAACUACGUGCCAGCAGCCGCGGUAAUACGUAGGGGGCAAGCGUUAUCCGGAUUUACUGGGUGUAAAGGGAGCGUAGACGGUUUUGCAAGUCUGAAGUGAAAGCCCGGGGCUUAACCCCGGGACUGCUUUGGAAACUGUAGGACUAGAGUGCAGGAGAGGUAAGUGGAAUUCCUAGUGUAGCGGUGAAAUGCGUAGAUAUUAGGAGGAACACCAGUGGCGAAGGCGGCUUACUGGACUGUAACUGACGUUGAGGCUCGAAAGCGUGGGGAGCAAACAGGAUUAGAUACCCUGGUAGUCCACGCCGUAA